rnacentral:tRNA from 1 species
GUGCCUGUAGCUCAGCUGGAUAGAGCGUUGGACUCCGACUCCAAAGGCCAGAGGUUCAAAUCCUCCCAGGCACGCCA